rnacentral:lncRNA from 1 species
AGAACGAUACCUGUAGUCCAUUCCUUGUAAAUGGACAAAGACUGAAGCUCUACGAAGGAGGAGACAUUCCAGCAUACUACUCGAGCCACACCCUGAUUGAUCCACCAAUUACCACUACUACAGGUGUAUAAAUUCUAAUCAUCAAGCUAAUGACGUUAAACAAGCGUUGCGUGGGAGGCAACCCAUGGUUUUUUCUUUCAUUUUUACUUUUUC